rnacentral:rRNA from 1 species
AUAAGCAAUUAUACCGUGAAACUGCGAAUGGCUCAUUAAAUCAGUUAUCGUUUAUUUGAUAAUACCUUACUACUUGGAUAACCGUGGUAAUUCUAGAGCUAAUACAUGCUGAAAAUCCCGACUUCGGAAGGGAUGUGUUUAUUAGAUAAAAAACCAAUGCCCUUCGGGGCUCCUUGGUGAUUCAUGAUAACUUUACGGAUCGCAUAGCCUUGCGCUGGCGACGGUUCAUUCAAAUUUCUGCCCUAUCAACUUUCGAUGGUAAGGUAUUGGCUUACCAUGGUUUCAACGGGUAACGGGGAAUUAGGGUUCGAUUCCGGAGAGGCAGCCUGAGAAACGGCUACCACAUCCAAGGAAGGCAGCAGGCGCGCAAAUUACCCAAUCCCGACACGGGGAGGUAGUGACAAUAAAUACUGAUACAGGGCUCUUUUGGGUCUUGUAAUUGGAAUGAGUACAAUUCAAAUCUCUUAACGAGGAACAAUUGGAGGGCAAGUCUGGGCACGG